UACAGAGGUCUCAAGCGUUGUUCGGAUUCACUGGGCGUAAAGGGUGCGCAGGUGGGUUUGCAAGUUCGAUGUGAAAGCCCCGGGCUUAACCCGGGAAUGGCAUUGGAUACUGCAGAUCUGGAGGAUCGGAGGGGGGACUGGAAUUCUUGGUGUAGCAGUGAAAUGCGUAGAUAUCAAGAGGAACACCAGUGGCGAAGGCGAGUCCCUGGACGAUACCUGACACUGAGGCACGAAAGCUAGGGGAGCAAACAGG
rnacentral:rRNA from 1 species